AAAUUCCUGAAAGGUUCGUGAUGUGUCGGUUGUAUUUUGACCUAACACCUUUUAAAUCGGGAGCACGAGUUUUCAUUGGAAGAGCAUGCCUACAUGACGAUGUUGGGACGUUCGGAAAUUGGAACAGGGCACCCACCUGCAAUGAGCAGGCCAAAUUAAUCGACAAAUACACACGGCUUAUGUUGGGUAUUUC
rnacentral:other from 1 species